UUCUCUGCCCUAAAAUCCUAAAUCUCGUCACUCCCUCACAUAUUCAAAAUCAGCCCUAAGAUGGUAAUUCAUUCGAUUCGAAGAAUCCCAAAAAAUCUUCGCGAAUUGAAGCUUUUUGGUAUCCCUUCAAUCCGAAUGCUCUGGGCGGGAGUACGCAGUGCCGUUUGAAUUGAAGUCACUUUGAUGUGAGGAGAGGUGUCUUGGCUCCUUUUAGGGUUUGCUAGAUGUUAGAGGGAAGGGGAGAGCUCGAAGAUCUAAGGAUUGGUUUGAGUUGAUUCUAAUUCUUGGAGAGGUCGCGAUGGAUUUGGAUUUUAAUGGUGACGUAGCUCCUGUAGCUCCAGGAGGUGUCUCCUUUGGCCAUCAAAGCUAAUUCGUAUGUUGCCAAGAAGCUCUUUGAUCAGUGGUUGUCGCUUCCUGAUACAACAUCCUUGAGAUAGAGAAAGAAGGGGAGAGAGUUCCAGUGUUAUUGUCUUUGCAUUGUUUGUAAGGUUGGAGGCUUGGGGGCUUGGUUGUGAAUAUAAGGGAAUUGAUAAAAAAGUUGGGCUGCUCCCAAAGUCACAAAAGAUGGUGUCACUGUUGCAAAAAGAGUGUUGAAUUCAAUAACAAAGUCAAGAAUGUUGGAGCAAGCUUUAUAAAGCAAGUGGCUAAUGCUACUAAUGACGUUGCUGGUUGGGACAAUCUCUGUAAAUGGGAAGAGAGAAAUUGGUGAGUUAAUUGCUAAGGCUAUGAAGAAAGUAGGCAAGAAAGGUGUCAUCACAAUUCAAGUCCUGCUUCUAUUCUAAGAUGGAAAGACAUUAUUAAAUGAGCUAGAAGUUGUGGAGGGGAUGAAGCUAGAUAGGGGAUACAUCACUCCAUAUUUCAUUACAAACCAGAAGAACAUAAAUGUGUAAGUUUUCAUAAUCUGAUGGCUGAUAUACUAUUGCAAUUAUUAUUCACAUGCAAAGCAUAAUUCUUCAUAAAUACUUGCUUACGACUCUAUUGUGAAAAUCUCAAGCAUAAAUGCUAUUGUGAAAAUCUUGGAGUUGCCUAUGAAGAGACAAAGACCCUUCUUUAUUAUAGCUGAAGAUGUGGAUAACAAUGCCCUAGCAACUCUUAUGCUCGACAAACUUCGUGUCGGAAUCAAGGUUGGUGAAAACAGGAAGGCCAAUCUUCAAGAUCUUGCUACGCUGACAGGAGGUCAAGUGAGAACUGUUCUUGUCAUGCCCUUAAAUCAUGUCUCUCUCUAUGCCCUAAAACUUCCACAUGCCCUUGAGGUGGUCAAAAUAUCGCUCAACCAAAGAUACUAAUUGUUUGCUAAUUGACCAGUCCUUUUUGCUGAGUAUUUUUGUUUCUAAUUUUAGGCUUGGUCUAUACGGUUAGUAUUUAUUUGUUCACAUUUGUUUUUCUGUUUACAAGUACAUGUUUUCUUACUAAAUUUUUGUACUUAUUUAGGUCUCUUAUUAAGCAUUUAACUUCAAGCAAUGCCUCACACUUCAAAUUGGUGCGUAAUAACUUUUGAAAAUGAGACUAUAUAUUGUUUGAUAUAAGCUGGCAUAUUCUUAUGCGAAUGAGAGCUCCUACUGAAGGUUAUUGUGAUUGUAUUGCUUCGGUAUAGUCUAUGGAUGAGUUGAAGAUAAGCUUAUGUAUACAACUCUUGAACUGUAGAGGUUGAAGGUUGAAUCCAGGGAGGAGAUGAGGGAAAGAGAUGAAGCAAGAAACCGGAUUCAGAAAGUGGAUUUUUUAUGUCCAUAGAUACAAAGAUGUCAAAUAUGGAUUUUUUUAUAUGUAAAAGUACUUUUUAGUUAUUUAUGUAAUUCAAAUAAUAUGUAGAAUUUUGUACUUGAAUAUUGUUUGAUGUUAUUAUUUGACAAAUAUUAUUAUAAUUGAUUUUCUUUUAAAUUA